CUGCGUAUAUCUAUGUCCUCUCAAGCUGCUGCUCCCUUUUUCCUGCUUAACACUGUAGGAUGUGGGGCUUGCAUCAAUGCAGGCUUCUAUCAAUGCUGUGCCUGUUCUGGUGCGGAGCUGCUGUCACUGGCCUGGGCUAUCAGCUGUGUCUAAUGAAGUGACCAGCAUACACUGUACUAUUGUACUGUACUCACACAAGAGGCAGGUUGCUGGUGCUGUCACUCAGAGGAGGAACCGCAGCUCGGGGACGCGUCAAUCCAACAGUCUCCGUCCUCAGUCUUCCCCUCCGUGGCGUCCCUGCAUCACCGCCUGUCUCCGUCCUCUGCCUUUGCUGUCUUUGCUGUGGCAGCUCAGCUGCUGGCUGGCUAUAUACAUCCCCUUUGUGACACUCGAUGUGCUCUGGGUCCAAACACCCCACCGCUCCUAUCGGGUUAUCAACUUCGUCAACUUCCAACUGAAAGCUUCAUCAGUGGCAAGCCUGGCUUUUUGCAGAGAUUAAAGAGAACAUGGUCAAUGGCAGAAGUAUUUUAGGGACGCAUGGAGCUAGAUAUGUUCAGCCGCGAUUCCUUACAUUCCCACCCUGACUUGUACAGUGCCUUUAUUUUCCUCUCAGGGCUUCACAUCUCUAACACAGAUAGCCAGAAUAAGAGGAUCAACUGAGAUGAGCACUGUAUAUCUGAAGAGGGGAAAGUGCAGUGGUGUCUGCAGGCGGUGCGGCCCAUAAGGAGCUGAAAGGAAAAGAGGGCCUGGUAAUGCUGGUUCACAUUGGAUGCACUCACUUUCAGAAGAGCAGAACGGGAUCCUCUUAAGAACAUGAGAAUGUCUGAUGCAUGUAAAGUAAACCUGGUCCAGCACACGAGCAAGGUCUUCACUUUGUUCUUGAUAGAUAGGCAUCACUAGUUCAUCCCCCAUGUACAGGUAAUGCUGUAGUAUGGGGAUUAUUGAUGAUGUAGGUUGAACUCGAUGGACAAUUGUCUUUUUUCAACCUCAGAUACUAUGUAUAUUUCCCCUGGAAAAUGGUGCUGUCCUAUAUAAAAGAGUUACUGUGUAAAUGUAAUAUAUGGUACAAUGGGUUAUGUAUCUUUAGGCUCCAAAUA